GACGAACGCUGGCGGCGUGCCUAAUACAUGCAAGUCGAGCGGACGAAUCGAAAGCUUGCUUUUGAUUCGUUAGCGGCGGACGGGUGAGUAACACGUGGGCAACCUGCCCUGUAGACGGGGAUAACACCGAGAAAUCGGUGCUAAUACCGGAUAACACGAAAUGUCGCAUGACGUUUCGUUGAAAGACGGCGCAAGCUGUCGCUACAGGAUGGGCCCGCGGCGCAUGAGCUAGUUGGGGAGGUAACGGCUCACCAAGGCGACGAUGCGUAGCCGACCUGAGAGGGUGAUCGGCCACACUGGGACUGAGACACGGCCCAGACUCCUACGGGAGGCAGCAGUAAGGAAUCUUCCGCAAUGGACGAAAGUCUGACGGAGCAACGCCGCGUGAGCGAAGAAGGCCUUCGGGUCGUAAAGCUCUGUUGUUAGGGAAGAACAAGUAACGCAGUAACUGGCGUUACCGUGACGGUACCUAACGAGAAAGCCACGGCUAACUACGUG
rnacentral:rRNA from 1 species